rnacentral:rRNA from 1 species
UACGAAGGGGGCUAGCGUUGUUCGGAUUUACUGGGCGUAAAGCGCACGUAGGCGGAUCGUUAAGUCGGGGGUGAAAUCCUGGAGCUCAACUCCAGAACUGCCUUCGAUACUGGCGAUCUCGAGUCCGGAAGAGGUGAGUGGAACUCCUAGUGUAGAGGUGGAAUUCGUAGAUAUUUAGGAAGAACACCAGUGGCGAAGGCGGCUCACUGGUCCGGUACUGGACGCUGAGGUGCGAAAGCGUGGGGAGCAAACAGGG